AGAUAGUAGAGAGGGCAGGAUGUUCUCUUGCAUAAAGGCUAAGGCUUAAAGAAAGACAGCAGGGAAGAUCAUGAUGGUGUCUGGAGGCGCAGGGUUCACUCUUGCCUUCAAGGACAGGACCACACAGACCGGGUUGAGAAUGCUUCUGCUCAAAAGAACCAUGGAGCCAGGGAGAGAGUCAUGUAUCAGGGCACAGACAAUGAUUUAGCAGAUGAACAAGCUGGUGCCUUCUCUGAAUGAAGGGGACCCUUGGUUGUCCUUGCUUUUCUGUCUACAUAUAAAAGUUCUGCCACACCCCUUCAGGUAUUGGACCUGCUGUCUGUGAGGUAUGCAUACUUCAGUCCUUAUUCUAAAUUGGAUGAACAAAAGAACACCCUGUGUAGCUUUCUGGAAACAUGGAUGGACAAGAACCCUGAGGACUUUUGUGACCCAUCAAACCUGUUACCUCUGUAAUACCUGAAGUCCUACUUGAGUGUGUACACGCCCAACUCUGACCUUAUUGUCCCUGUCAAGAGGCUCCCGACCCAGUUGCAGCAAGAACAUGCCAGGGAUUCACAGGGCAAGAAUGACAGAUUCAUAUCUGGGGAGACACACAUCCUCAGAACCACAGAUUGAAUGGGUAUAAAUCAGCAAAGAAAAGAAUCACUCUGGAGCCAGAACCAACUUGUGCCCCAGAGCUGGAGGGCACAUAAACCUCCAGAAGGUUCUGGGGUUUAUGAGUAGUUGCCUGCCAUAUGUGGCAGCAGCAGUUCAGCCAGCACAGCUGAUAGCAGCUGUGGAAACUGUGUCUCCUUGUGUCUGUAGAUUUCAGUCAUCUCCUGCUUGCUACAGUGGGCCUGCCUAUUUAGAGAAUGGCCCUCUCACCUCUCCUCAUCAAAUUGAGUCUCUCCUGUAUCUGAGCUGCUGCUCCUGUCCCUUAUGAUCAGCUGCUUAUUUCAAUCCAGCAGCAGUUCCAACCCCACAGCCAGCCUACCCCUCCCCUGAGAAAGAGCCAUUUUAGGCAUUCUGAUGUUUUCAAUGUUGUGUUUAUUUUAAGUAUUGGUCUUAAUAAAUUGUUAGUAUUUGG
ensembl:lncRNA